UGCUUANACAUGCAAGUCAUACGGGAGUUUUUAACUCAAGUGGCGGACGGGUGAGUAACGCGUGAGAAUUUGCCUUUAGGAGGGGGAUAACAACUGGAAACGGUUGCUAAUACCCCAUAUGCUUCCGAGUGAAAUGGAGUAAUCCGCCUAAAGAGAAGCUCGCGUCUGAUCAGCUUGUUGGUGAGGUAACGGCUCACCAAGGCGACGACGGGUAACCGGCCUGAGAGGGUGACCGGUCACACUGGGACUGAGACACGGCCCAGACUCCUACGGGAGGCAGCAGUGGGGAAUAUUGCACAAUGGGCGCAAGCCUGAUGCAGCAACGCCGCGUGAGGGAUGAAGGCCUUCGGGUUGUAAACUUCUUUUAGCAGGGAAGAAGCGAAAGUGACGGUACCUGCAGAAAAAGCACCGGCUAACUACGUGCCAGCAGCCGCGGUAAUACGUAGGGUGCAAGCGUUGUCCGGAAUUAUUGGGCGUAAAGAGCUCGUAGGCGGUUUGUCACGUCUGCUGUGAAAAUCCAAGGCUCAACCUUGGACUUGCAGUGGGUACGGGCAGGCUAGAGUGCGGUAGGGGAGAUGGGAAUUCCUGGUGUAGCGGUGGAAUGCGCAGAUAUCAGGAGGAACACCAAUGGCGAAGGCACAUCUCUGGGCCGUAACUGACGCUGAGGAGCGAAAGCGUGGGGAGCAAACAGGAUUAGAUANNCUGGUAGUCCACGCCGUAAACGGUGGGUGCUAGCUGUGGGCCACAUUCCACGUGGUCCGUAACGAAGUUAACACAUUAAGCACCCCGCCUGGGGAGUACGGCCGCAAGGCUAAAACUCAAAUGAAUUGACGGAAGGGCGAAUUC
rnacentral:rRNA from 2 species